rnacentral:misc_RNA from 1 species
GAUGAAGAACGCAGCAAAAUGCGAUAAGUAAUGUGAAUUGCAGAAUUCAGUGAAUCAUCGAAUCUUAGAACGCACAUUGCGCCCGCCAGUAUUCUGGCGGGCAUGCCUGUUCGAGCGUCAUUUCAACCCUCAAGCACAGCUUGGUGUUGGGACUCGCGUUAAUUCGCGUUCCCCAAAUUGAUUGGCGGUCACGUCGAGCUUCCAUAGCGUAGUAGUAAAACCCUCGUUACUGGUAAUCGUCGCGGCCACGCCGUUAAACCCCAACUUCUGAAUGUUGACCUCGGAUCAGGUAGGAAUACCCGCUGAACUUAAGCAUAUCAAUAAGCGGAGGA